GAAGGUUUCUCCUUGUACUCCCGGAGAUGACAGAGAGGCUUGUUUGAACCAAACUUGAUCUUUCAAAAGAAAGGGAAAACUUGAAGCCUCUAACUCUUGGGAGUGGCAAAGAGAACAGCCAGAGGGCCGUGAGCUAACUUCUAUUCUCCAGAGAUCUUGAAUAGAUUUGGCAGUCCCUUGGCUUCUGUUGAAAACAAGGGCUGCUAAUUAUACUUCUGCCAAUGGAAAACAACAGGCAGCGCCUAGGCUCGGGAGGUCACGAUGACACGCCAAUAUCAUGCUUGUGGAGUGUGGUUUGCUCCCAGAUAAAGCACCACUGAAGUGUAUGUCACAUGCUUGGUGCUGGGACCCAUUCAUGAGAAUGGAAUCUAAUAAAAAUGCAAAGGGAAUCUGGUGAAGUGAUUUCCUUCUUCCCUUAAAUUGUAUCUUGGCUAUAAUAUUUUCUGACACUAGAAAUAAAUUAAUUUCAUGUUUAGAUCCUUCUUUCUACAUCCCCUCCAACUGGAACAAAAGUGGUUUAGAUUAACUAGGUAUGACAGGUUCAGAGACCACAGGGUUUUCCAUUCUGUAACUGCCGAAAGACAAAGGGCACAAAAAAUACAGAUGUUUUCGCCUUGCUGCUACAAAAGCGCAGUGGACUAACUCCCUGCCUGUGGAAUGCAAAUUUUCUUUCACAGUUUAGCAGUCUUUUUUGGAUUUCAGCACAGUGAACUAACACUUUCCUGGAUUCCAAGACCUCCAGAGAACCAGAUGGAUGAGAGAAAUUGGGAAAAAGAACCCACACUGCUUGAAAAAGGUCUAGAAAAAGAAGUUUGGAUCGGGGGAGGAGAAGAGAGACCGGAAAUGUUACCUGGAAUAAUCUGAUGCUUUGGCUAUUUCACCACAGAGGUGCAAAAGACAGUGACUGUGGGAGCAAGAAUCGUAACAUUUUAGACAGGAUCUCAAGAAGCCUAUGAAACUUGGAGAGUUUGUGAUUUUACGCCUCAGAAACAAAAAAUCAGCCAUAUGACCCAGGAAUCGAAUGCCAUCCAUGGGAAGACUUUGAAAUGCCAUCCACUAGGAAUCCAAUGCCAUCCAUGGGAAGACUUUGAAAUUAUGACUCUGUAAGUAGAAAUAUUUUAAUUUCUAUUCAUUUGGGCUGCACUGAAAGUAACAAAAUAUUUAUAUAGUAUUACAAGGCAGUAAGAAAUAGGUACCAAUUAAAUGUCUUAUGAAAACAAAUGGAAAAGUGCAUCCAAGCAUUCAUUCACGCACCGAGCCCCU
rnacentral:lncRNA from 1 species